GUCUGGCUCAGGAUGAAUGCUGGCGGCGUGCCUAAUACAUGCAAGUCGAGCGGUAACAUGGAAUAGCUUGCUAUUCUGAUGACGAGCGGCGGACGGCUGAGUAACGCGUGGGAACGCACCCCAAACUGAGGGAUAUCUAUUCGAAAGAGUAGCUAAUACCGCAUGUGAUCUUCGGAUUAAAGGAUUUUAUCCGGUUUGGGACUGGCCUGCGUACGAUUAGAUAGUUGGUGAGG
rnacentral:rRNA from 1 species